rnacentral:rRNA from 1 species
GACGAACGCUGGCGGCGUGCUUAACACAUGCAAGUCGAACGAAGUGGCGAACGGGUGAGUAACGCGUAAUCAACCUGCCAUUCAGAGGGGGACAACAGUUGGAAACGACUGCUAAUACCGCAUACUGAAGGAGGGGAUUGCGUCUGAGUAGAUAGUUGGAGGGGUAACGGCCUACCAAGGCGAUUAUCAGUAGCCGGGCUGAGGGGAUGAACGGCCACCAUGGGACUGAGACACGGCCCAGACUUCCACGGGAGGCAGCAGUGGGGAAUCUUCCGCAAUGGACGAAAGUCCGACGGAGCAACGCCGCGUGAGUGAUGACGGCCUUCGGGGUGUAAAGCUCUGUUAAUCGGGAUGCGGUAUCUGAAUAGAAAGCCACGGCUAACUACGUGCCAGCAGCCGCGGUAAUAC